UCAUUUUUUUAUUGAUUUUCCACAAAACCCUACUGAUUUUUUUAUUUUUUCAUGUUAAAACAGCAAUGUCAAGUUCAACUCCAAGGACAGCCCCAAAGCCAAGAAGACAAAAAGACAAAGCAUGGAAGUAUGGGAUACGAGGAAAUAAAAAGGGAGAGGUCACUUGUAUUGAAUGUGGCAAAUAGAUGGCAGGUGGAAUCAAUAGAUUAAAAUACCAUCUUUCAAAACUACUUGGACAAAAUGUGGAGCUAUGCCCCAAAACAACUUCGGAGAUUAUUAGAGAGAUUCAGGCCCUUCUUGCUGAGUAUGAUAUGCAAAAAGAAGAAAGGCAAAACAUAAAAGAAACCAUAGUAGCUACAAUGAAUCUCAGUGUGUCACUGUCCACUUCGGGCCCCCUUGGUCACAGAAGUCCAAGCUUUCGUCAACCACAUUCAUCUAUUGCUAACAAUGAGACUGAGGCAAGUGAGACUCCUCCUCUUACAUCGGACCCAAAUUACUUUGUUCCACACAAUGUUCCAGGAGCACAACCUUCACUUGAAGGCACCGGAUGGAAUAGAGAAAAACAUGAGCAAGCAAAGAUAGCAACAACAAUUUUUUGGUAUUACAAUAAUUUAAAUUUCAAUGUGGUGAGCAGCUCGUAUUGGGAAGGUUUGGUUAGUGCAUUUACAAUUGCAGGCAAGGGGUUUAAGGCCCCAAUAGCUAGAGACUUUAGUGGGCCAUUGCUAGAGCAAGUUGUAAAAUAUACACAAGUUGUGGUUGAUGAUCAAAAAAUAUUUUGGAGGAGAAAAGGAUGCAAUAUUUUAUCAAAUGGAUGGACAAAUGGACGGAAUAGGACUCGCCUCAACUUCUUGGUGGCUUCUAAUGGUGCAAUGGUAUUCUUAAAGUCUAUUGAUGCCUCACAUGAAAUCAAAAAUGUUGAAACUUUGUGCAAUUUAUUAGAUGGGGUGAUCCAUGAUGUUGGAGUUGAGAAUGUUGUCCAAAUUAUCACGGACAACGCCGCUGCAUAUGUAGCUGUAGAUAGAAUGCUUAUGGAGAGGCAUCCUACAAUUACAUGGAGUCCUUGUGCUGCACAUUGCUUGGACUUGUUGUUAGAGGACAUUGGGAAGAUUGGAUGGGUGAAAAGGGUAAUUAAAGAUGCUAAAAAUGUCACCAAAUUCAUCUACAACCAUACUUAGGUCCUUUCUUCGAUGAGAAAACACACAAAUGGCAAGGACCUUGUGCAACCAGGAGUGACACGAUUUGCUAGCCACUUCCUCACAGUGAUAUCCCCAGCCAAACCUUGGAGUGCAGCGUAUCACCAUGGAUCAUAUUGGAUUAGAACUAUUAUUAAGUUAUAGGUAACAACAUCCUUGUACUUGAUGGCAAGGAAGCAAACCAACAUUUAAGCAGUACCUUGUGCGACUAGGAGUGACACGAUUUGCUAGCCACUUCCUCACUGUGAUAUCCCCAACCAAACCUUGGAGUGCAGCGUAUCACCAUGGAUCAGAUCGGAUUAGAACUAUUAUUAAGUUAUAGGCAACAACAUCCUUGUACUUGAUGGCUAGAAAGCAAACCAGCAUUUAAUCAACAACGAUACAAACCAUCGGUAUCAAACAAAGACAUCUUAGGAUGCAGUGAUUAAAUACAAUGAUCAGCGAUUAGAAAAAGAAAAUGAACGAUCAUGGUUAUUUGACUUAAGGCCUUGUCUUUAAAAAAGUGACGCGGAUAGCAAGCAUGAAUGCGGAAGCACAAAGUGAUAAUGACAUUCCUAAGUAGCAAAGGUCGUUAUCGAAUGAAGGAAGCAAGGAACUAUCAAACAAAAACCAUUCCCACCAUUAUCACUGUCCCAAGGAAGUGAAAGAUCGCGAGUCUUCAAUCGCCACUUAUCAUUAAGAAUAAUAAAUCAUACACCUUCCACCACUCAAUAUCAUCUUAUUCUUAUUUGAUUCAAAUAAGGAAUAGAGUAUUAAAUGUGCGACUAUGGUAUAAACAAACUAAUUAAAGGAAGAGACACGAUCAAACAAAUUAAUAAAGAACCACAAUUAUACUCAUACAAAGGGAGGCAAUUAGAAAAUGGAAGGUGUGAUUUAAUAUUAAACCAAUCUGUCAUGAGGAGAUACGAUGUAAGAGAUGGCAAACCUGUUCCAAACCAAGGGUUACAAUCGAUUACAUAUGGAAAGGUGAUCUACAUAAGGAUAAGAAACAUCUGUUAGUAUAAUGAAGUGGUGCGAUUAUAACCUUAACAAAUAAAUAUGUCUCUAUUUCCCAAUGGACACAUCCAAUGGAAUGUAUGAAUAUAUAUUAGCAAUCAUUUCAUUGCAAAAAGACAUCGAAUAGGUUUUAUCUGAAUUCUAUUUCCAGUUUGGAAGAGUAUCAAAGUAAGGAAGGUUGAAGACCCACAAUUGGGUACAUAUUCCAAGCAAUCGUAUAUCAAAAACAGCCCCAUCAAAGGGCAAGAUAAUAUUGUCAGAUCUGAAACAGCUGAUCACAUCAUUGUUGCAAAUUAAUAUAUUCAAAUCAGGACACAGUGGCUACUUUGUCUGAGGUGAUGAUACAAAUCAGACUUUGCAGGAUUUGAGUGACUGUAAGGAGACAGCAGUUUGGAUUGCCAUAGGCAAUAUCAAUUCAUAUCUCAGUGUAUAUUUACUUGUCAUCAUUAAUACAGCAAGUGGCCCUUGUACUUGGUGCAAGUGUUCAUUAAUUCACUUAAGGAUACCCUUUUAAUUGUACAAAUCAGAAAUAGCAAGUGACAUUGCUUAUUAUUAUAUCUUAUAUCAUAGUAUUCAUAUUUCCAAUUGCACAAGUUUAUUGUAAAAAUCAGAUAUUGUAACUCUAAAUUGUCCCCAAGGCACAGUAAUCUAAAAGGGGACAUUACACUCUCAUUGCAAGGCAUUCUUGGUGCCAUUCCUCAUCUUAAGCAAAUGUUUGUGACUGAUGUUUGGUUGGAGUCUGCAUGCUCCAAAAGAGUUGAAGCGGAGAAGAUUGAAGAUUGUUUUUGAUGAAGGGUUCAACAAAAGUGGAGAGGAGUUGAUCGGGGUAAGUAACAAACACAAACGUAAACUUUAUACAAGAUAAUCUAUUUUUUGUUUUCUUUUGAGGGGUUAAUUUUGUAAUAAUUUAAAAUUUGUUUUCAUUUUUUUAGGUGACAGAACCUUUGGUAAGGGUUCUUUGUAUGGUGGAUGGAGAGGGCAUGCCAAUGGGUUUCAUUUAUGAGGCCAUGGAUAAGGGCGAAAGAGGCCAUUUCACAUUACUAUGGUAGAAAUACAAGAAAAUAUGAAAUCCUUUGGCGCAUCAUUGAUCGUAGAUGGACAAACCAACUCCAACAACCGAUACAUGCCUUGGCCUACUUCUUGAACUUGAAAUUCUACCUCUCUGAUUCAUUUAGGGAUGAUGAGGAGGUCAUGGCAGGUGUUUUUGCAUGCAUUGAUAAGAUGGCACCUAAUCGUGAGUUGAGAGACAAGGUUCUUGAUGAGUUGGAGAUCUACAAGGGUGCAGAGGGGAGACUCUUCUCUUCACAACAAGCAAUUGAUAGGAGAGAAAAACAACAAUCGGAUUUAUGGUGGGAGAAUUAUGGUGCUGACAUGCCUAAUUCUCAAAAGAAAGCCAUCCGUGUUUUGUCGCAGCCAUGUAGUGCUUCUGGGUGUGAACGGAGUUGGAGCUUAUUUGAGAACAUUCACACGAAGAAGAGAAAUAGGUUGACCUAGAAGUGCCUCAAUGAUCUUUUUUUUGUUCGAUACAACCUUUGCCUUCACACUAGAAAGGUAGAGGGUGUUUCACACGAGGCCAUUGACUUGGAUGAAAUUGAUCCAUAUGGUGAUUGGACCAUCAAUGAAUAAAAUGAUGGUGAUGAUGUCCUCCUCAUUGAAGAAUAUCCUGCAGAAUUAGAGAGAGGAGCAGCAGAAGAAGCAGAAGCAAUAACAUUGGAUGAAAUGGAGGAGGACGAAGACGAGGAAUUUGAUGUUGAAGAAGAAGAAUCAACUUAUCAUUUAGAUACCUCAGCACCUACUAGUUCAAGGCCUGAAAAAUUGAGCUAUAAUAGGAGAGGAAAGAGGAAGAUGUAGUCUUUAGUUUGUUGUUUUUCACAGUUGGACAUAUCAUUAUAUGUAAUUUUGUAAACAUUUAUAAACUUAUGCUGCUAUUAUACAUUUUAAAGUUUGAAACUAUGAUUAUGAAUGAUGAAAUUUCAAAUAUUGAGUGUUUGGAGAUAAUAUGACAUUUGUAAUGUUUCAAUUAUGGCUCUUAUGUUCUCUAAAUGGGUUAAUUUCUUUUUAUUUUUUUCUAAAACGACGGUUUUCUUUUUUGCUGAGUCCUUUCCCGAGUUUUUGACAAGUCCAAGUCCGAGUCCAAUUUUUGGAUUGCCAAGUCCGUGGCGAGUCCAAGUUUUCCUACUUAUGUUUUAUGUCUCAAUCUUUCAUAUAUCUCAUUUUGUUAAAGCUAAGUGCCUAUGUUCAUAAGUGUGCAUACAUGCUAAUUUCAAUAAAUAUUACCUCUUCCCCUCCUAUAGAUACUUGAUCUUGUCACCUCUACGAUGACCACCCAUUUAUGAUCUUCUACCCCUCCCCCUUCAAGAACCAUCGAGAUUGACCCCCUUAUCCUUCUUCUCCUUGGACACUACCACGACAACUUAGUCCCCCUCUAUCCUCAUCUUCCUCUCAACACCAUUCUUCCUUAUGCACAAUGCCUCCAUCCCUUCCCAAGCAACUUGAUCCAUCCAACAUGAUCAUUUUUUAUUCAUUGUGGAAAAAAUUCCUCUUCCCCCCUCUACUCUUUUUUGGAUUUCUGUCCCUCUUCUCCUCCUCUCCUAUCAAUUUCGUUCACCUUCUGGCACACAAACUUCCUUUGUCCAAUAUCAUCCAACCUCAAUAAGCCUAGUGAAGCAAAUUUUG